GAAACACCGCAGUGAAGGAGAGCAGCGUUACAUCUGUGUCUGAUCCUUCGUCGUUUUGUCCUGGCACUCGAACAUCAUGUCUUACACGGCCGGGUCUUACAUGGCCAAACCCUACGCGGACAAAACCUACGGCGACAGUGUGUACACAGGAUAUCCGGAUGAGAAGUCGGCGAAAGAGGUGUACGAUGAGCAGGUGAAGCACGAGAAGAGAAAGAGACAGGAAUCUAUCUGCUGCGAGGUGGUUGCGCUGAUCAUCGGCUUCUUCGGACUGAUCGGCGUCGCCUCCGUCACAGGCCUCCCGAUGUGGAAGGUCACCGCGUUCAUCGAGGAGAACAUCAUCGUGAUGGAGACGCGUUGGGAGGGAUUGUGGAUGAACUGCUACCGGCAAGCCAACAUCCGUAUGCAAUGCAAAGUCUACGAUUCUCUGCUGUUUCUCCCGGCCGACCUCCAGGCCGCCAGGGGUCUCAUGUGCUCCUCCGUCGCUUUGACCACCUUCGCCUGCAUCUUGUCGGCCGUAGGCAUGCGCUGCACCCGUCUGGUAGACUCCCGUCCCAAAACCAAGCACAUUGUUUUGGUGAGCGGAGGGUGUUUGUUUUUGGCUGGCUGCUUGACCACCAUCAUUCCCGUGUCUUGGACGGCUCAUGUGAUCAUCCAGGACUUCUACAACCCGUUGUUAAUCGACGCCCAACGUAGAGAGCUUGGAGAGGCUUUGUACAUCGGAUGGGUCACUUCAGCUUUGCUUUUCUGUGCCGGGGUGAUUCUGCUCUGUCGACAUGCACCACGGACCCAGGAUAAAGAGAACAUGGCUGCUGUUCUUUAUCGGGCCGGAUCGGCUCCGUAUAACUACUCCUACAGGUCCGGAUAUGGAUACCAGCCUGCAUACGGAUACCAGCCCGGGUAUAACUAUCAACCGGCCUAUUCUCCUGUCCCGACAGUUUAUAACCCUUCAAGAUACUGAGACACACAACAUCUUCUAUAGAGACUCCAAAAAAGAAGUUGAGUUGGGAACAAUCUGCAUUAGGAUUCAGAAGAAAGCAGGACGGAUGGAGCCUCAUUUGAUUAAAUGUGACUGUAUAUGUGAAUAUUAGUUUUUACAUACUUGAUUUGAAUGCAUUUCCUUCUUUUCUAAAAGUUUGUAAUUUGCACAGAAAUAAUAUGCAAUAUGUGCUAAAAUUAAGAACACCAACAUGUGGGAUAUUUCCACACAGCAUUUAACUGUGUAUCCAUGACUUAAUGUUGACUCUGUCAUAUGAUUGUUUGUUUUCCACUCUGUCCAUUUUUAAAGCAUUGGUUUGAUUGUAAUUGUAUUAAAUAAAUAUCAGAUGACAGA